rnacentral:rRNA from 1 species
ACAGCAGUAGCCGCGGGAAUACGAGGGGGGCAAGCGUUGUUCGGAAUUAUUGGGCGUAAAGGGAGCGUAGGCGGUUUUGUAAGUCGUGUGUGAAAUCUUCGGGCUCAACCCGAAGUCUGCACACGAAACUGCAGGGCUUGAGUAUGGGAGAGGUGAGUGGAAUUCCUGGUGUAGCGGUGAAAUGCGUAGAUAUCAGGAGGAACACCUGUGGCGAAAGCGGCUCACUGGACCAUUACUGACGCUGAGGCUCGAAAGCUAGGGGAGCAAACAGGAUUAGAUACCCCCGUAGUCCCUGUCUCUUAUAC